GGCCUAACCACCUAGGCACGCAGUACAGAAUAUAAGACAUUAUAGUCUCUUGGUCACUAGCUACUCAUCUCUUGGUCUAGCCCUUGAAGCCAUAAGAGCAACAUUAGUAUGGAAAUACUUUUUCAUUCUCUCAUAGAAUACUAGAUACACACAGGUCCUAGGGAUGAUCACAAGCAGACAAUGUCAGCAGCCUCCUUAGGAUGCAUGGAACCAAGACUCCAGGAUAGCUUCAGUGAUGGAGAGCAGACGUGCCCAGCUGUGGCCUUCAGUGACUAAGAGCUUGGAGCAUGUCAGAGAUAAGAAACAACUUUGGAUGGGGUCAAGAGCUGGGGACCGAACCCAGGGCCUUGCCCUUCUUAGGUGCUGGACUGUGUGCUAAAGGAUCCUGUCUUUGCAAAACCUUAAUUUGGCUGACAGAGUCGCAUCUCAGGUUGAUGCCACCGAGGACAUGUACAUGCUGUUCCUGAUGUAACCAAAAGUUCGAAGUAUGUAAAUUCUAUCCUUUUAGAAUGGCCGCUCCUUUCCUUUGCCUAGGUCACCCCAUGAUGGCUGACAAUUUUUGCUGAGCAAUUACUUUGUUAGUCUAAAGAAAUGGACACCAGAAAAGAUCACGUGUGCUUGUCAUCCCUGUUCUGAGGCCAAUCCAAUGUUGUCUCCUUGUUUGAAAACUUUUAAUAUCACCUAUCUAUUUUUCAGUUCCCAGAAAAAGCCAGUUCCCAGAGUGGUCAAUGAAACCUGUC
rnacentral:lncRNA from 1 species